rnacentral:rRNA from 1 species
GAUGAACGCUGGCGGCGUGCCUAAUACAUGCAAGUCGAGCGAACAGACGAGGCGCUUGUUCCUCUGACGUUAGCGGCGGACGGGUGAGUAACACGUGGAUAACCUACCUAUAAGACUGGGAUAACUUCGGGAAACCGGCGCUAAUACCGGAUAAUAUAUUGAACCGCAUGGUUCAAUAGUGAAAGACGGUUUUGCUGUCACUUAUAGAUGGAUCCGCGCCGCAUUAGCUAGUUGGUAAGGUAACGGCUUACCAAGGCAACGAUGCGUAGCCGACCUGAGAGAGUGAUCGGCCACACUGGAGCGGGGACAGGGUCCAGACGCCUGCGAGAGGCAGCAGUAGGGAAUCUUCCGCAAUGGGGGAAAGCCUUACGGAGCAACGCCGCGUGAGAUAUGAAGGUCUUCGGAGCGUAAAACUCUGUUAUGAGGGGAAAACAAAUGUGUAAGGAACUAUGCACUGCUUGACGGUACCUAGUCAGAAAGCCACGGCUAACUACGUG